AUUCUGCACUCUGGACUCCUACGGACCAAGAUGAUCAACUCUGAGGAAGAAAGGCAAUGAGGACGUUGCACAAGACAGUCCCUGAUACCCAGAGUUUACUGCCUAAGAGAGGAUACAUCCUUCAAACCAAUAAUCUGCUAAUAGCAAGAUCCAAUAGCUUCAUGGAUAUUGAAAGAAACUGAGAAUCAAAUUUGCAUACUUCUGAGUCACUUGGAAACAAAAAACAAGUACAGUCUUAGAUUCUGAGGGAACAAAAAUUAAAAAUCACAUUAGGAAGAGAAUUCCUAAUGUAGGAACUCAUCCUGGAAGAUUCUUCAGCAAAAGUACAGACAAUAAUAAUAAUACUCCAUGAAGUUACCAUCGAUAUUGAAUGAAUUAAUGAAUGUAAAAACCUCAAAACCCUGCCUGGCCCAGAGCUUUGGAAUGGGUUUGGAUCUACCACUCAACUGCUUUAUGACUUCAGACCAGUUAUUUAAAUUCCCUGAAGCUCAGUUUCCACAUCUUUGAGUUUUUAUUAAUGACCUGCCGACAUCAUACAGUUCAUGAAAUGCUCUGGAUGUGUACAUGCUGAUGAUACGACCUCAGACCCAGCAAGAGCUCAGUGCAGCCCGGAGAGCUGUGAGCAGUGCCACAGGAGGAGAUGACUGGUGAGUGAAAUAAGCAAGAUAGGAGUUGAAGUGUACAUGAAGCAGAGUCCAAGCCUUCUCCUUCUGGAUGUUCAGCUGGAUCAUCCUGACUGCUCCCACUUUCAUCUUGGCUUUCAAAGGCAAGAGGAAAUUAUAAGGAAUAUUCUGAGUGGCUUUCAUCCAGGAGUUCUGUGGGACCCGCAACACCUGGAUGGUAGAUGCAAACAGAUAAAGAAUAUUGGUCACCAAAAGGAGUUCUUUUCAUCAUAGAUCUCUGAAGGUAGACACCUAUUUGCAGACUUCUCAAAGGGCUAUAUGGAUGUGCUCUACUUGUUGGAGGAUUGUCCAUCCACUCUUCUUCCUGUACUUACCAGGACAGAACAGCCGCAACUUCUCAGACAGUUCAUUCUUCUUUUCCUCACCUACUACCAUCUAAGAAAGGUACUUGAUGACUGUGGCUUUAGACAAGAGUCCUUUUCUUACCACAGGGUGGGCAGCACCAGCUCAUUAGAACCAUUUGUGUGACUGACUGAAGACAGCUCACCUUGGAACACUGCAGAAUAUGGCGUAAGUGACAUUUUACAAGUUCCAGAGCCUGGGACUCAAGAUGUCUUGGAGAUUCUGUCUUUGCAGUCUUAUAAUGAUGCCCUGAGAUCAUCAUUAAAGAAAGCCAGUCUGGCCUACUGAGGAUGAGAAGCUACAUAAAGGAGAAUGAAGAUUCCCCAGCCAACAGGCAAUAUCAGUGGUCAGAUAUGUGAAUAAAGCCAUGUUGAACCUCUCGGCUAGACGACCCUCCAGCAUAUGAAACCAGCAGAUGAAUAUCCCAGCCUGCCUGAAGAACUGUACAGGAAAUAAGAAAUCAUUGUUUUUUAAGCCACUGGGUUGGUGGGUGGUUUGUUACAUUGAAAUUGUUAACUAAAACAGAAAUUGGUGCAUAGAGGUCAGGUGCUGUCAUAAUAAAAAUCUAAAACAUAUACUGUUGGCUUUGGUGAUGGGAGUGAUUGGUAGCUAAAGAGGCAGUGAAACAAUGAUUAGUAGAUACUGGGAAGUUAAUAAGGAAAUUUCUAUUGGAGGGUGGAGAAAGGGCCACCCUUGUUAUAUAGUGGCCAAAGAAUCAGCAAAAUGUUGCCUGCUGCAACCUGGAAAGUAGAAACUUUUCUUAAACUCACGGAUCUGGCUGGGAGAUUUCCAGGAUGCAUGCAACAAAUGUGAAUCAACUUUGUAUAGCUGUGUAUAAUAAAGUGUGCUGUAUUUGUCCAUUCUGAUGCUGCUAAUAAAGACAUACCUGAGACUG
rnacentral:lncRNA from 1 species